CUACUGGGGUAUCUAAUCCCGUUCGCUCCCCACGCCUUCGCGCCUCAGCGUCAGGAACGGCCCAGCCGGCCGCCUUCGCCACGGGUGUUCCGCCCGAUCUCUACGCAUUUCACCACUACACCGGGCAUUCCACCGGCCCCUGCCGUCCUCAAGCGGCGCGGUCCCCGGCGACCCUCCCCGGUUGAGCCGGGGGCUUUCACGCCGGACCCACGCCGCCGCCUGCGCGCGCUUUACGCCCAGUAACUCCGGACAACGCUCGGACCCUACGUAUUACCGCGGCGGCUGGCAC
rnacentral:rRNA from 1 species